GGGUUUGAUGAACGCGGUUCCCGGGGAGACCGUAUGAUUUUUCAAAUUUUUAUCAGUCUAAGUAUAAGAGAAGAACUCUAACCUCCCCAGGUGAUUUGGAUAUCUACUCUGGAGAUAAAGUUGGUUCAUCGUUAAAAUAUUCUGAUGAAAGCAAGCAUUGUAGAACACCAUUGGGCGGCUUAUUCAAGCACGUAAAUGUGAAUUGAAACAGGAAACAGAAGAAGAGUUAAUUGAAAAUGAUUAUAGAGUUAGUACCUCGAAAAUAACCAAGCAGUCUUUUAAAGAAAUAGAAAAAGUUGCCUUGCCAACUAAUAGGACCUCAUCGAGACCUCGGACUGAGUGUUGUAGUGAUGCAGGUGACUCUCCUUUGAAACCUGUCAGCUGUCCAAAAUCUAAAGCAUCAGACAAGCGGAGUUUACUUCCACAU
rnacentral:sRNA from 1 species